CCUACGGGCGGCAGCAGUGGGGGGUAUUGCACAAUGGGCGGAAGCCUGAUGCAGCGACGUCGCGUGAGGGAUGGAGGCCUUCGGGUUGUGAACCUCUUUCUCCGGUGGUGAAGGCCCUGUCCGUUGCGGCGGGGUUGACGGUAGCCGGGUAUGAAGCGCCGGCUAACUACGCGCCAGCAGCCGCGGUAAUACGUAGGGCGCGAGCGUUGUCCGGAAUUAUUGGGCGGGAAGGGCUUGUAGGCGGCCGGUCGCGCCCGCCGUGAAAUUCUCCGGCUCAACCGGGGGCUUGCGGUGGGUACGGGCCGGCUGGUGUGCGGUAGGGGAGGCUGGAACUCCUGGUGUAGCGGUGGAAUGCGCAGAUAUCAGGAGGAACACCGGUGGCGAAGGCGGGUCUCUGGGCCGUUACUGACGCUGAGGAGCGAAAGCGUGGGGAGCGAACAGGAUUAGAUACCCGUGUAGUC
rnacentral:rRNA from 1 species